AUUGAACGCUGGCGGCAUGCUUUACACAUGCAAGUCGAACGGUAACAAGUUAAGCUGACGAGUGGCGAACGGGUGAGUAAUGCAUCGGAACGUGCCCGAUCGUGGGGGAUAACGCAGCGAAAGCUGCGCUAAUACCGCAUACGAUCUGAGGUUGAAAGCGGGGGACCGUAAGGCCUCGCGCGAUCGGAGCGGCCGAUGUCAGAUUAGGUAGUUGGUGGGGUAAAGGCUCACCAAGCCAACGAUCUGUAGCUGGUCUGAGAGGACGACCAGCCACACUGGGACUGAGACACGGCCCAGACUCCUACGGGAGGCAGCAGUGGGGAAUUUUGGACAAUGGGCGAAAGCCUGAUCCAGCAAUGCCGCGUGCAGGAAGAAGGCCUUCGGGUUGUAAACUGCUUUUGUACGGAGCGAAAAGGCUCUCUCUAAUACAGGGGGCUCAUGACGGUACCGUAAGAAUAAGCACCGGCUAACUACGUGCCAGCCGCCGCGGUAA
rnacentral:rRNA from 1 species